CUGUGUGUGUGUGUGGGUGAGAGAGAGAGAGAGAGAGAGAGACACACACACACACACACCCCACCCACCCCCCAAAGUAGUUCAGGUCAACCAAGACACUUAACUAAAUGCCCCUACAUUCAGAGAGGGAGAGGGCAGCAGGAUAUUUUCAGUGAGGUCCACAACUGUGAAACCUAC